rnacentral:sRNA from 1 species
UGGACAGCCAGUGCCAUGGAUUUCAGAACCUGCAUUGCCAGUUGACUGCCUCCUUUGUGCUACGUGCAGGCCUGCCGCGCCCUGAUGAUUGCUGCCUCUGUCCUGGGUCUGCCGGCCAUUUUACUGCUGCUGACUGUUCUUCCCUGUAUCCGGAUGGGCCAGGAGCCUGGUGUGGCUAAGUACAGGCGGGCCCAGCUAGCUGGUGUUUUGCUCAUUCUGCUGGCUCUCUGCGCCAUUGUUGCCACCAUCUGGUUUCCUGUGUGCGCCCACCGUGAGACCACCAUCGUGAGCUUUGGCUACUCCCUGUAUGCAGGCUGGAUUGGUGCUGUGCUGUGCCUCGUGGGUGGCUGUGUCAUCCUCUGCUGCGCUGGAGAUGCCCAGGCCUUUGGAGAAAACCGUUUCUACUACACUGCGGGCUCUAGCUCCCCGACUCAUGCCAAGAGUGCCCACGUAUAAGAGGGCUGCCCGGCUGCCCACAGAGAAGUCUCGCGCUGUUGCCCAGGCUGGAGAGCAGUGGUGCGAUCUCGGCUCUCUGCAACUUCUGCCCCUUGGGUUCAAGUGAUUCUUGUGCCUCAGACUCCCAAGUAGCUGGGACUACAGGACAUUCAUGCUCAUGACAUCACAUGCUGAGAGGACAGGGAGGCCACUGUGGGGCUGGCCUCGAAGAGAGGCGGCAUCAGUGCUACCAUUGAGAUGUCCCCACAAAAGAGUGUGUGACAGCCAGAUGUGCAGCUUAAUGGAGACUGAACCAGGAUUGUGGGUGGAACAUUGGCACAUGCUGCUUAUGUCUUGAAUAGCAGCUCUUGAGGAAUCUAUAUUUCUUUACCUCAUGCAGAAUCUUAGAGCUCUGGCUUUGUGGCCCCAUGGCUGGGGGAGGGAGUGGAGAUGGAGGAACUUGUCACUGCUCCAUGCCCCAUUGUUGAAAUGGAAAAUGUGGAAAUGUUAAGCCAUUUCUAGAGGAUUGUGGAAGGUAAGAAUUGCUUCCAAAUACAAAAAUACAAAUACAAAAGAUCACCUGAUCGUCACAGUUGGAGGCUUUCUUGAAUAAAAAUGGUUAUAUCUCUA